AACUUGAAUAGUUUCUCAUAUCUUCAUGUUCGUCUUUAUUUCAAGAAUUCGGGUGUUUUGCAUUACUUAGUCACUGAGAAACUGAUUUGUUCAACUGUUAAAUCUUUUUUUCUUUGUCUAUGCUCAAGUUUUCACAUGUUCAAACCUGAUUCUUAAUCUUGAUUUGAUUUAUUUCCGAGUUUGACUGAAUAGUUCAUAAUCUUGGUUUCAUUCCACGGAUUCAGAUCUUAUGUAGUUUUAAAUCUGACAGUCUUCUUCCUCUUACAGCUGUACUUACAGCUGAGUUUCUCUUCAUGCGAACCCUUAACCACUCCUCUGCAAAUGGCUGCCUCCGAUGGAAUUUUCGCUGAACUUGCUGCGCAGCACACAACCUUUUGACGAUCUUGGCCUUGGUCGGGCCUCUCAGUUUUGUCGUUGUGUAUGUGUCACUAUGGGACGCCUCUUUCGCAACUUUUAGGGGGCAUCUGAGCUUAUGCGAUAUUACACACUCUGUCAUGCUGGACACCACGGUUAGUUCCAAGUUAUAUUUUGACUUGAACGUUUACGCCAGCCAAGCUUUCAUCAACAGGUGCUGCUGCUGACGAUUUCUUGCAUGUCGAGACAAUGGGAGAGAUUCAAUAGCAAGAACUUGUGUCAAUUGGGGAUCUCUACACGAACCUUUCCAUGUCCACCGACAAGACCUAUGAAGCUGAAGAAACUCACUAAGAAAGAUGCAGCAUCUGGCCCUAGAGGCGAUCCGUCUCCGCUCACAGUCAACUCAAUCUUAAUUACGUUUCCAUAAGCAUUAUCGAUACUGUGUCAUUAACAAAAAAAACGUAUGAUAGACUAAUUGGCGUUGGAGUGUCAGAGCUCCCUAAAUGCUUCGAAGAGCUUGCUGACCAAUGCCUCUUUCAGAUUCGAGUGACACCCUACAAUUUCACUCUCCACUACCGGACCGUCACAGUGUCUACUAAAGAUGUGGAUGUGAAGACUCAUUCAGGGAUAAACUAAGUUUUGUUGAGAUACCAACCUGGAUGGAGGUGAUCUAGAAAAAACUCCAUAUUCAUAUCAGGAUGAAAGUAACAACAGAGCUCCAAAAGUGGUAAGCCAAAGUGAGCAACCACCUGUUUCUGCAAGCGAUCCGGUAGAUGCGGCUACAAAAGUGACGGCAGUGGAUCAACCAACACCACCUAGCUCUGGAUGCGAAGAGAAGAGUUACAAACGCUACCGUGAGUGAAAAUUGGAAGUGUAGUAAGAGGAAUUGUGGGAACCGAAAUUCGCACUGUCGAUUUCCGUUUAAAUAAGGAAGCUAGGAAAACCCUAAUUUCCCAGAGGUCCCGGAUAUCUGCUAAUACCACACGCCAAGC